rnacentral:lncRNA from 1 species
CGUGCGGCGCCCCCCCCGACAGGAAGUGACGUCAUCAUCACCUCGUUGCCCAGCUUGACGCCCACUUCCUGCGCCACCCGGGCCGCCACGCUCAUGGCCGCCACCCUGCGGGGCUGCGUGCAGCCGAUCUUCUUGUCCCCCUCGGUGUAGCCCUGGGAGAGAGACAGACAGGUGAGCAGGCAGGCAGACAGGUGAGCUGGCAGGUAGACAGACAGGUGAGCAGGCAGGCAGGCAGACAGGUGAGCAGGCAGACAGACAGACAGGUGAGCUGGCAGGCAGAUGAGCUGGGAGUCAGGCAGACAGACAGACAGGUGAGCUGGCAGGCAGAUGAGCUGGGAGUCAGACAGACAGACAGACAGACAGACAGACAGACAGACAGACAGACAGACGGACAGACAGACGGACGGAGGCGAGCAGUCAGACAGACAGGCGCGGGGCCCGCUCACCUCCUCCAGCAGGUACUGCGGGAUCUGGGUGGUCUUCCCCGAGCCCGUCUCGCCCUCGAUGAUGAGCACCUGGUGCUCGGCGAUGGCGGCCAGCAGGUCGGCGCGGUAGGGGAAGACGGGCAGGCUGCGCCUCACCUCCUGGAUCGACUGUCUCGCCUUCUGGGCCUCCGACAGCUCGGGCUCGGCCUGGUCCCUCUUCUCCUGGGGCACAGGGGGAGGGGGAGAGGGACAGCGCACCAUGAGGGAGUGAAGGACAGUGAGAGACCCAAUCAGAGGGCACCAUGAGUACAGAGACACACCCAGGGGGCCCACAGAGGGCACUUGGACACCCAGGGGGCCCACAGACAGGCCAGGGGGCACACAGAGGGCACUUGGACACCCAGGGGGCCCACAGACAGGCCAGGGGGCACACAGAGGGCACU